rnacentral:lncRNA from 1 species
UCAAGCUUUACGAAUGGUAAUGCUAAAUCUCAAAUUUAAGUCUAGCUCCAAAAUUCUCCAUUUUGAAACUAGAUAAUGCUUGGCUGAUACUCAAGAAUAAAGCAGAACUGGUAUUCUCUCGUUUGAAAGCAUAGUCAAUCCAAUUUUAUUCUCUCCUUGUGCUUUUUCUUAGCCCAAGAUGAGAUUAGACAUAAUUUCCCGAUCAACCAAUAUAUUGGCGGAACUUAGGUUAUAGAGACAUUUAGUGAAAAGUUUUACAUGAAAUAGAUGGUUGAAACCAAAAUGUUACAAUCCUAAACCAAAUAAAUAAACACUUCCUAGAUUUCUUCAAAUAUUAGUAUAUAUAUAAACAAAUUCAACACAUCAGCAUUCCUCCACAGGCAUUGUUCAAUGCUAUUCUACACUUCUUGUAUGGAAAGUAGAGGACAGAUGCAAUCUUUCUUUUUACAUAAAUUCAAGUGCCAUAGGUAACGGUUUAACCCAUGGCAUACUUCUGGGUCCAACUCCGGGCAGUUGUUUCGUAUUUUGCCCUGUCGGUCUUGUACAUAUGAGCAAUCUCAGGCACCAAGGGGUCAUCAGGGUUUGGAUCCGUCAAAAGUGAGCAAAUUGAAAGCAAAACCUGAAGGUAAAACACAAACAGGUCUUGUACAUAUGAGCAAUCUCAGGAACCAAGGGGUCAUCAGGGUUUGGAUCCGUCAAAAGUGAGCAAAUUGAAAGCAAAACCUGAAGGUAAAACAGAAACAUUUUCCUCCUUGAGAAACAUAUACACAUGGACAUACUUUGUGAAUGUCAAACAUGGUAAAAGACCCCUAGUGAGAAAAAGCAUAAUUCCGUGGAAACAACUAAUGGUACCAUUGUGGAACCCAUUCUUCCCUGGAGGGCUUUAUUUAUAUAGUGUCGAACUGUUUCCGCAAUUACUUGCAGAAGAUAAAAAGGAAACUGGGCAACAGCAAAAGGAAUAACUCACCUCUUAUCUGUAACUCCAGUUAAAUGUUUCCUCUUUUAAUCAGUCAAUGAUGUUAUUUUCUAUCCUUCAGAUAUGUAUCAUUCGGUGAAGGCAUCUAAAUUUGAUUAGGACUCAUGAUACCAUGACAGUCCAAAGACUUACCUAAGUUUGUGUAUUAAUUAGCACCUAUUAGAAUAAGUAAAUAAAAAAUGGCUCUUACUAUUCAAAAACAAAAAUGAAGAACUAGGUUGAAAGGUAAGAAGGAACCUUAGAAAUAGUCAAGGCAGGGCUCCAUUGCUCCUUC